UUGGGACUGUAUCACGUUACCACUGCAUAGCUGUUCAAUCCCAGUUUUCGCCUGUCUGUAACUGACAGUGUACUUCAGCUUUACAAUACCAGUAAUAUGAAUGUUAUAUAACUGAUUAUGGAAGGCGUUUGGGUUGCUUUUUUUGUAAUAUCCUAUGUGGUUGUUAAUCAUGUAGGAAGAUCUUUAAAUGUUUGCGGACCAAAGAAUUCGACGAUAUCGAUGUUCUAUGAAUAUCCAAAUCAAGAAGCCGCAGUAACAUGGAGGAGAGAAGACGGAAGUGCCCUUUCCGUUGUAUCUAGUUCUGGUUGCACUGCAUCUUUAAAUGAUCCUAAAUACAAUUUUUCUUGUGAAAAUGGUAAUAGAAAAUUUGGGCUACAUGUUAACAACCCAGUUGAUGGAGAAUUGUACUACAUUGGAACAAUAGACGAUAAUAGGACUUUUGUAAUUCAAGAUAAGGGAUCGUUAAGCUUAAGUGCAGAUUUGUUUGCAUGUAAGUUAAACACUGAAGUACAACUGGUGUGUACGAUAACUUGCAGUAAACCAGAACCACAACUUACUUGGAAAUUACGUAAUACGACUGGAGCGCUACAAUAUUUAUCACGAGGCGAGGAAUAUGUUAAUAAUACAGGAUGUUCAACUGGAUACUUUUCUAAAAGUAGCACUAUAACUAUAUCAAAUACAACGGCUCUGGAUGGACUAGACGGUUAUACAAUAAGAUGCGAGGUUUCUUAUCCUGACUGUGAUAUACCAACAACACCUGACCAUGUUGAUGGAUCUUGUAUGGACAUUAUAACAACGGAAGCCACCACAUCAACCAGAAAUAUACCAAAUGCCGGUACUAACAACUCCAUUACCACAACAGCACGACGUGACAAUGGUGCUGUAUGUAGCUACAAUUAUCUUAUUCUCACCACAGUAGCCCUGGUUCUUACAGUCUAUAACAUGAUUCUACUACUACCCCAAUAGAAAAUUCGACUGUGGCACAAUUAUCCACUAUCAGCUCUGAUUUAUCAUCACCCGAGAAGCACGUAGGCUCUGUCCAUCAACCAAGAAGCUUGUAGUCAGUUUCUAAUCUUUAGAGAAUACAUAGUGUCAAAUCUUC